AACGAACGCUGGCGGCAGGCCUAACACAUGCAAGUCGAACGCUCUAGCAAUAGAGAGUGGCAGACGGGUGAGUAACGCGUGGGAAACUUCCUAGGGGUACGGAAUAGCUCAGGGAAACUUGGGGUAAUACCGUAUGAUGCCGAGAGGCCAAAGAUUCUAUCGCCCUUAGAUGUGCCCGCGUCGGAUUAGCUAGUUGGUGAGGUAACGGCCCACCAAGGCGACGAUCCGUAGCUGGUUUGAGAGAAUGACCAGCCACACUGGGACUGAGACACGGCCCAGACUCCUACGGGAGGCAGCAGUGGGGAAUCUUGGACAAUGGGCGCACGCCUGAUCCAGCCAUGCCGCGUGAGUGACGAAGGCCUUAGGGUUGUAAAGCUCUUUUGCCGGGGACGAUAAUGACGGUACCCGGAGAAUAAGUCCCGGCUAACUUCGUGCCAGCCGCCGCCGUAA
rnacentral:rRNA from 1 species